UACGGAGGAUCCAAGCGUUAUCCGGAAUCAUUGGGUUUAAAGGGUGCGUAGGCGGAUUAAUAAGUCAGAGGUGAAAUCCUGCAGCUCAACUGUAGAACUGCCUUUGAUACUGUUAGUCUUGAAUCUAGUUGAAGUAGGCGGAAUGUAACAUGUAGCGGUGAAAUGCAUAGAGAUGUUACAGAACACCGAUUGCGAAGGCAGCUUACUAAGCUAGUAUUGACGCUGAUGCACGAAAGCGUGGGGAGCGAACAGG
rnacentral:rRNA from 1 species